GGUUGUAUAGUGUAGUGGUUAGCACGUGGGAUUUUGAUUCGGAUUCAAUUUCAAAAUUGGAUUAAACACUUUGAUUAUGUGUAUACAUAUAAACAAUUUUCCCGAAUCCCCGGUUCGAGCCCGGGUACGACCUG
rnacentral:tRNA from 1 species